rnacentral:lncRNA from 10 species
AACUCCUGGGGAAAAGGUGAGGUGGACAGGUGACGUGGAGUGAAUCAGCUCUUCUUUCAUCUUGGAAGUAAUAUCUUGACAUGCUGCAAACCAAUGAACCAUCAGAAACUUCACCGAGGUUUCAAACACUUGUACUAUGUGCACUACAACUAUGGACAGAGUGACUACUGGCAGAAAUGAACCCAUGUGAGAAUUCUGGGAUCGAAGAGAACAAGGAGCUAAAGGAAGUCAGUUGGAUGAUGUAGGAGGGAGGCUCCUGUUUUUCUGACAUCACUGCCAGAUGAAGCACCAAAUAAUUAGAAAGCUUUCACUCCAUUUGCCUUGGAUAGAUUUAAAGGCUAGGCACAGUCAUUUGUGUUAGUUAAAAUCUCUGAAACCUUAAAAAUAAAUAAAUAAAUAAAUAAAAUCA